GAUGAAGAACGUAGCGAAAUGCGAUAAGUAGUGUGAAUUGCAGAAUUCAGUGAAUCAUCGAAUCUUUGAACGCACAUUGCGCCCUAUAGUAUUCUGUAGGGCAUGCAUGUUCGAGCGUCAUUUGUACCUUCAAGCUUUGCUUGGUGUUGGGUGUUUGUCCUCUCCCUGGUGUUUGGACUCGCCUUAAAACAAUUGGCAGCCAGUGUUUUGGUAUUGAAGCGCAGCACAAUUUGCGAUUCUGGCCUUAAAAUACUAGCGUCCAUAAGUACAUUCUCACUUUUGACCUCGGAUCAUGUAGGGAUACCCGCUGAACUUAAGCAUAUCAAAAGCGGAGGA
rnacentral:misc_RNA from 1 species